UUCAGUGAAAGCUGUUACCUCUCUUUUCAUAUUUCUACUCACAGGACAGAGAAGAAAAGCCCCUCUGAAGAUGUUUAAUAUGAUUUUAAUGGUAUUUAUACUGGGUUUCCUUCAUCUGCCAGAAAAUGACGGUGCUUCUAAUACCCACAGUGUCGUCCAAACGCCUCCUUUCAUCAUUAAGAAAAUUGGUGACUCUGUCAGCAGUGAGAUUCGCUGCUCGCACAACGUGCCAAACUAUGACCGCAUCCUCUGGUACAAACAAGACGAACACAGAGCUCUACACUUCCUGGGAUAUCUGAAUGUGAUGUUCCCAAACCCCGAGGAUAACGUGAAAGGAAAGAUCAGCUUCAAUGGAGAUGGCAGGAAACAUUCAAACCUGAGUAUUUCCACUGUUUCAGUAAAUGACAGCGCCGUGUAUUUCUGCGCUGCCAGUCGCCACAGUGCUGCAGAUGACACUCACGUCAAUACAAAAACUCUGCGUUACAGACAAGCUCCUGAACACCUGCAACCAGCCUUUGAAGAUGCUAUCCACAGUUUUAGCAAGAUUUUGACCCCCUCUGAGGUCGUGGUGAAGGCUCACAGUUUAAAAUUACACUGCUGUUAG